UGCUGUCCAGCAACAUGGCUUCUUGUUCCAGCUGUGACACUGCAUUUGAGGACUCCAUGAGGGAAUCGCUCGUCCUCACACGGAACAGCUGCUCCACGUUCUGAACAAGGGUGAAAACCUCAUCAGAUGGACGUUGCCUCAUUAGAUCCUCCACGUGAGCCCGGUCACAACUGGCCCUUGGCAGUCUGGUCCCUGGAGCACCUGACCCUGGCAAACUGGCCUCUUCAUAGCUGACCCCUGACUGACUGGCUCCUGGCACACUGAUCUCUGGUGUGGUCAUCAUUCCUGACAGCUGGAGGCAUACUCCUUGACGUGGAUGUCCUCCUUUUCGGCUUAGGCCGAUGUAUAAAUACUGUUGGAACAGCAUCUGGCCUCAACCUCAAAUUUCCUCCUGAUUUGUUGCCAAUAUAUUGGUCGUCUUCAAAGUGUACCUGUAGGUAGGUAGGUUUGAUCAGUUUCCA